UUCGCAAUGCCCGAAAGGGUGACGAAGCGACGCCGCGUGUGGGAAGAAGGCCUUCGGGUUGUAAACCACUGUCGGGAGUUAAGAAAUGCAAGGAUAUUAAUAGUGUCUUUGUUUGACUAAGGCUCCGGAGGAAGCCACGGCUAACUCUGUGCCAGCAGCCGCGGUAAUACAGAGGCGGCAAGCGUUGUUCGGAAUUAUUGGGCGUAAAGAGCACGUAGGCGGCUAUGUAAGUCGGUUGUGAAAGCCUUCCGCUCAACGGAAGAACAGCAUCCGAUACUACAUGGCUUGAGUGUGGAAGGGGAGAGUGGAACUUCUGGUGGAGCGGUGAAAUGCGUAGAUAUCAGAAGGAACACCGGCGGCGAAGGCGACUCUCUGGUCCGUAACUGACGCUGAGUGUGCGAAAGCUAGGGGAGCAAACGGGAUUAGAUACCCCGGUAGUCCUAGCCGUAAACGAUGGGCACUAAGUAGAGGGGUUUU
rnacentral:rRNA from 1 species